AGUUUCGGGCGGGCCGUGCGGGAGACCUUCGGGUCUGCCGGUUCCUGUAUCCGGUUCGCCAACCCGCACGGUUCCGCCCACCCG
rnacentral:antisense_RNA from 12 species